AUGGCGGCGGCGCGGUGGCAGCAGCAGGGGGUGGAGCAGAAGCUGCGGUGCACCAAGGAGCCGUACGUCGAUGACGACGGCACUCACAGGAUAAAGAGCAUGCGGUUCAGCACCUUCUCCGGCGGCGAGGUCCGCAAGUCCGCGGAGGCGCAGGUCUAUAACGGCUGGAUCUACGACGAGAACCGCAAGCCCGCUCCCGGUGGUUUGCUCGACACGCGGAUGGGAGCUGCAAACAAGUUUGGGGAGUGCACAACUUGCCACUGUUCAUACACCGAGUGCCCGGGCCAUUUCGGUUACAUCAAGCUUGCGCUUCCGGUUUUCAACGUCGGAUUCUUCAACAGUAUCGUCAAUGUGUUGAAGUGCAUCUGCAAGCGCUGCAGCAGGAUUCUUCUUUCGGAGAAAGACCGCCAAGAGUUUCUGAAGAGGAUGAGGAAUCCGAGAGCAGAAGUACUGCACAAAAGCGCCAUCCUGAGUAAAGUUAGGGACAAAUGCAGGCCAUGCCGUUGCCACUGGUGUGGAUACAUGAAUGGUGUAACUAAGAAGGGGCCAAAGGACAGAGGAGGCUUGGCAAUUGUUCAUGACUGUAGCAAAACUUUGGACAGAACUACAGAAGAACUUCGGUCUGCUUUAUCACACAAGAAAGAAAAACUAUCCUUUUCUUCUGUUCACCUGUUAGACCCUCAAACCGUCCUCGCUCUUUUCACAAGAAUGACUGAUGAGGACUGUGAACUGCUGAACCUUGGUGACAGACCCGAGAAACUUAUCAUUACAGAGAUUGCAGUGCCACCUGUGCCCAUCCGUCCUUCUGUUUUUGUUGGUGGUAAUAAAAUGAGCAAUGAAGAUAGUAUUACUUGCAUAUUGAAGAACAUUGUUGCUGCAAAUCACAUAAUUAAAGAGGCCCUUAAAAAAGGCGAAUCACCCGUGAAUUGCUUUAAUUCCUGGCAAGACCUUCAACUCCAAGUUAUUGAAUAUAUCAAUAGUGAUGCCCCCUCUCUUUCUGAUUCACAACAUCGUGGCCUUAUGCAAAGACUCAAAGGAAAGACAGGUCGAUUUCGUGGGAACUUGUCUGGGAAACGUACUGAGUACACUGGGAGGACUGUCAUAUCUCCUGACCCAAAUUUGAGAAUAACAGAGGUGGCUAUUCCUGUUUUGAUGGCUCGAGUCUUGACUUAUCCUGAACGAGUUUCAUAUCAUAACAUAGAGAAGCUGCGUCAAUGUAUACGAAAUGGACCAAAUAAACAUCCAGGGGCAAAUUUUAUAAUACAAUCUGAUGGAACAAAGCUGCACUUAAAGUACGCUGAUAGAAGGAUCGCCGCACAGGAUUUGAAGUAUGGCUGUAUAGUCGAAAGGCAUUUAGAAGAUGGAGACAUUGUCCUCUUCAACAGACAACCAAGCUUGCAUAGAAUGUCAAUUAUGUCACACAGGGCAAGGAUAAUGCCCUGGAGAACAUUGCGAUUUAAUGAGUCUGUUUGUAACCCUUAUAAUGCUGAUUUUGAUGGAGAUGAGAUGAAUUUGCAUGUCCCACAGACAGAGGAAGCUCGUACUGAAGCAUUUAUGCUUAUGGGGGUUCAGAAUAAUCUAUGUACCCCUAAGAAUGGAGAAAUACUGGUUGCUUCCACACAAGACUUUUUGACCUCGUCUUUUCUUGUCACAAGGAAAGAUACCUUCUAUGACAGGUCUUAUUUUACUCUCUUGUGUUCAUAUCUUGGUGAUGCAAUGGAAAAUAUUGAUCUCCCAACACCAGCCUUAAUUAAGCCUAUUGAGCUUUGGACUGGCAAGCAAUUAUUCAGUGUGUUAGUACGUCCUAACGCGUGUACAAAGGUGUUUCUGAAUCUUACCGUUGAAGAGAAAAUUUACAUGAAACUUAAAGAACGUGACAAAAAGGCGAUUACAGUUUUGGAAGAGACAAUGUGUCCGAAUGAUGGUUUUGUCUAUUUCCAAAACAGUGAGCUUUUAUGUGGGCAAGUUGGCAAGAAAACUUUGGGUAAUGGGAAUAACGAGGGCAUGUUCUCUGUUCUUAUAAGAGAUUAUAAUUCUCAUGCUGCAGCGAGCUGUAUGAACCGUUUGGCAAAGUUUAGUGCAAGAUUUAUAGGGAAUCAUGGUUUCUCAAUUGGUGUGGAUGAUGUCCAACCAGGAGAAAGUUUAAAUCAGAAAAAGAAAAUAACAAUAGAUGAAGGGUAUCAAAAAUGUCAUGAGCUUAUUGCCCUAUAUUCCAAAGGUGACCUCAUACCGCAACCUGGUUGCAACAGAGCUCAAACACUGGAGUCUCAGAUAUCUUGCGUUCUAAAUAAGUUAAGAGAAACGGCCGGAGAUGAUUGUAUGAGUACGCUUCACUGGAGGAACAGCCCAUUGAUUAUGUCUCAGUGUGGAUCUAAAGGUUCUCCAAUCAAUAUUAGUCAGAUGGUCGUAUGUGUUGGACAACAAUCAGUUGGAGGACGCCGUGCCCCAAACGGUUUUAUAGAUCGAACACUUCCCCACUUUCCUAUUAAUUCAAAGACCCCUGCGGCGAAAGGUUUUGUUGCUAAUUCCUUCUAUACGGGUUUGACUGCCACUGAGUUUUUCUUCCAUACGAUGGGUGGACGAGAAGGUCUUGUUGACACAGCGGUCAAAACAGCAGAAACUGGAUAUAUGUCCCGCAGACUAAUGAAGGGUCUUGAAGAUCUCUCAGUUUUCUAUGAUCAGACUGUCCGUAACGCUAGCGGCGGUAUUGUUCAGUUUGUCUAUGGAGAUGAUGGUUUGGAUCCUGUAAAGAUGGAAGGAAAAGGUGGCCAUCCCUUAAAUUUGGACCAAUUGUUUAUGAAAGUCAUGGCCACAUGUCCGCAAAGGGGACAUGACAUGUUAUCUCCAGAGUUAAUCUUGCAAAUGUUUAAUGAUAAGCUCUCCGGACAAGAUGCCUCAUCUGGUGGUUGCAGCAAUAAGUUCAAGGAGAUGUUAACAAAAUUCUUUGAGGACCGCAUCAAAAUGCUUAGAAGCACAAGGAGAGCACUUCAACUAGAUGAAGAUCGUGUGGGAAAGAGGGACUCUAGCAUUGAAGAACGCGUUGCUGCUGAUAUUUCUGGCAUAUCCGCGAAACAACUGCAGGUUUUCUUGGACACUUGCUUAUCUCGUUAUCACUCAAAAAUAAUCGAAGCAGGAGCAUCAAUUGGGGCAAUUGGGGCACAGAGUAUUGGAGAGCCUGGGACCCAAAUGACAUUGAAAACCUUCCAUUUUGCAGGAGUAGCUAGCAUGAAUGUUACUCUUGGAGUUCCCCGCAUUAAGGAAAUCAUCAAUGCUGUUAAAAAGAUAAGCACACCAAUUAUCACUACAGAACUUUUGUCUGAGAAGGAUGAGUUGUUUGCAGCCAAAGUGAAAUGUUCUAUUGAGAAAGUAGUGCUGGGUGAGGUGGCAGCAUCCAUAAAGAUUGUCUUAAAAUCAAACCAGCCAUAUUUGGUUGUUGAACUCGAUAUGCAGCGCACAGAAGGGUACAUGGGAAUCUCUUCUGACACUGUGCAUCUGUCAAUACUAAAUGAUCCAAAAAUAAAGUUAAAGUCUGAGCAUGUUCGUGUCAUCGAUGAAGCCAAGUUGAGAAUAUAUCCAACUGGAACAGAUAAGUCCAAACUUCAGCUUGAGCUGCACAAUCUCAAAUCGAUGCUUCCAAAACUGAUUGUGAAGGGCAUUCCAACUGUUGAAAGAGCUGUUGUCAACCCUAUUUUAAGACGCGAUGGAACUUUCGACAGAUACAACCUGUUGGUUGAAGGAACAAACCUCAUGAAAGUUUUGGGUACUCCUGGAGUUGAUGCUAAGAGAACAAAAAGUAACCACAUCUUGGAAGUGAACAAAACACUUGGAAUUGAAGCUGCAAGAAGAUCUAUCAUUGAUGAAAUUCGGUAUACCUUUGAAAAUAACAACAUGAUGAUUGAUCUGAGACAUAUGAUGCUUCUGGCAGACCUGAUGACAUACAAGGGCGAAAUUUUGGGCAUCACGGCUGGCGGCAUCGCGAAGAUGAAAAGCAGCGUGCUGAUGCUGUCUUCAUUCGAGAGAGCUUCGGAGCAUCUCUUCAACGCUUCGUACGCUGGACGCGAGGAUCAGAUAGAGGGAGUUAGUGAAUGCAUCAUCAUGGGCAUACCCAUGCAACUCGGCACUGGUAUCCUCAAAGUCAGGCAAAGGCUCCAGGAUUUGCCUGAAUUCAAGUACCAGCCUGAUCCAAUUAUACUGUGA
rnacentral:rRNA from 1 species